UGCCAGCCGCCGCGGUAAUACGGAGGGGGCGAGCGUUGUUCGGAAUUACUGGGCGUAAAGCGCAAGUAGGCGGGUUAGUAAGUCAAUUGUGAAAGCCCAGGGCUCAACCUUGGAAUUGCAGUUGAAACUACUAGUCUUGAAUACCUAAGGGGAUGGCGGAAUUCCUGGUGUAGUAGUGAAAUACGUAGAUAUCAGGAAGAACACCCGAGGCGAAGGCGGCCAUCUGGUGGUGUAUUGACGCUGAGGUGCGAAAGUGUGGGGAGCAAACAGGAUUAGAUA
rnacentral:rRNA from 1 species